GAAUCUCUCGACAGUUAUUUCAAAGAUCGAGAGCGAUUGGAUCUCUAGGUAAUAUUUCUUCAUCAUCCACCAAUGGUGCCUCUCUCCGCACCUUCUCUAACUCGUCUCUUCGCAGCUUCUCUACCUCCUCACGUAAUUUCAAGAUGUCGCCGUUUCUUGAAUCCGUCAUGCAUGUACAUCCAAUGAAUCAUUACUCUUCUUGCUCGUGCGAUUGGGUCUCGCAGCAAAAUCUGUAAUCUCUUUUCGUUUUAAUGUUUCCCUCGACAGUUACGUCAAAGAUCGAUUGGAUCUCUCCCCUGUAUUUCUUCAUCAUCGUCCAGUUGUGUCUUUCUCCGCACUAUCUCUCCUCUUCGCAACUUCUCAACAUUCUCUACAUAUAGACAUACCUACAUAUAGACCAGAUGAGGAAAAGAAGAAGCUUGAUUGCUAUAAAAAAAGAUAGUCAGCUUUUAUUUUUAAACACACUAAAAUAAAUGUUGUGAUAUUCAUUGCUAGUCUGAAUAGACCCAGUUUGUUUGUUCGGUUAUUCUCGAAGGAUUUUUACAAGCACAAGUGGGUAUGCAUGAAGAAGUUUGUCAAGCACAUGUCUAUUCGUCCAGUCCUCUAUUUACCCCUGCCUGAAUAGGCAUAUUCCAGUAUGUGACUUGAUUAGUAUUUGUAGGGUAUUGUAUGGAUGGGACGAAGAAUUCAAACCAUUAUCCCCUAUGUACCUAUGCCCAAAUGCUAACCUAGAGGCAUAUGAAAGAGAAAUAUAUCCCAAAGAUAAGCAUCGUUGAUGUGGUUGUGGUCAUACAAGAAAAACGGCAUACCUACAUAUAGACCAGAUGAGGAAAAGAAGAAGCUUGAUUGCUAUAAAAAAAGAUAGUCAGCUUUUAUUUUUAAACACACUAAAAUAAAUGUUGUGAUAUUCAUUGCUAGUCUGAAUAGAAGCACUACAUGUUGUUAGCCAUUGCUAUUAAUCAACAUUUUAUUAUGGCACAAAACAUUUCGAUAUAUUUUUCAAAAAACAUUACUAAAUAACAAAAGGAAAAUCUUGUGUUAUUAUUCAAGAGAAUAUCACAACAUUUAUUUUAGUAAUGUUCACCUUGUUCCUCACUGGAAAACGCAAAAUUAGA
rnacentral:lncRNA from 1 species